GAAUAAAAUUUGAUUAGAUUCCGUAAUUACAUGGGUAUUUAUUUUGAACGCACAUGUUAAUGUAUGCCUGCUUACUGAUUGAGCAUCUAUGAGCCGAGCUUUCGUGUAGCUUCUAUACACUGCGGUAAAUCUUUCUGCAUUGCAGUCUUUUAUAACUAAGACUCAGACUUCACUUAUUUGGAGCCCGAGUCUUCUAACCAAAACCCAAGAGCUCUUGCUUAGGUCAGAUAAAUGACAGAGGAAGGUGAGGUUUAGUCUAGAGUUGGCUAGAAUGUUAGCAUUUUUCCUCUGUUUUUAAAUUUUACAAUCCUUUUCGAAAUGCAUACUAAGUUGUACAAAUAGGUAACAGGUUUUUUUUGGGAGGAUAUCAUUUUGUCUUGUCGUAAAGGCCCAUCAAUGAACAGAUUGAGUUCAUAGCUGUUAAUUACCUCACCAGUUAAUUGAGAUGUGUCUAGUGAUCAAGGCUUUCUGCAGGGAAGCCUGCUUCUCUGCGGGGCUCAGAAACAAAGGUCUUGUUAUGCUCGGCCCCAGUUUACUGCUUUAGUGACCGCCAUGCUUACUGCGGCCCUGCUGACGUCAUGGAAACGAUUGCACACUGACUUCACACUCAGAGUUAGGUAGGAGCUCGGGUAUCAUCUGGCUGGCGGUCUUUAAGGAUUCACAGAUGACAGCCAUGCACAAGUGUGGGUGUAGACCCUAAACAAGUUUAUCAUCACGCAUUAGUUAAGAUGUCAGAACCCCUUUUAAUUUCCUGGGGUUUCCUUAUCCCAUGCCUAAAACAAGCCACACCCAGAGGUGUGUGCUUUUAUGGCCUCUGGAAGACAUUGCUUUGUAAUAGUGGCAAGAUUAGAUCUAAUACUGUGCCUCGUGGAUCCUUACUGUCCCUGUCUUUCGACAACUGAACAGUUAACACCUGAGUAGGGGGAGGCAGGCGCUUGGGUUUACUUUAAUGAUUUAGGGGUCAAGUUUUCGGCUCUGCGCUCACCUCCUUCAGGGAGGGAAACUCAUUUUUAACAUUUUCACAAGGCAUUUAAAAAGCAUUCCUGAUUUUAUUCCUAGAGAAUUCUUAGAAUUACAGAUUGAUUUCCUGUACUCAGAAGCAGAAUAGGAUCCAACUCACUAAUCAUUGGGUCUCUCCACCAUCACUUAGAGUCACAAGACAGCCCUUCUGCUUAACUGUCCACUUGGGACUUUCUCUGUCUUUUUCCAUCAAACAAAGGGGAGUUGAGGAGUGGUAAAGCCAUACAUCCAUGUGGAUGUGUGUCUGUAUCGAUGCCUGAAUAUGAGGAUUAGAGGAGAGAGAAGCAAGGAGACUGCUUGGGUCAGUCUGCUGAGAGGUGGCUGGAGAAAGGAUAUGGGAGGCUGAGCCUGCGGCCUUGUUGCAGGUGAAGGAUCUGGCGCAGCUUUCGGAUGCUUGUCCUUUGUGAGUCUAAACUUUUCUUUAAGCUUUAAUCUUUAUCAUUGUCUUAAAGUCAGCUGGUGUCUCUUGUACAUCGACUUUGGUACGGUGGUGCUUUGCAAGGAUGUAUUUAUACUAUAAUGACCAACAUUUGGUCAGCCCUUGUCCACUUAUUCACUUUCCCCUUUUUGUAAAAUAAGUGCUUUAAUUAUAAACUGUAUAAAUACCUUGUAUAAACCCCCUUUUGAUUAUUACAAAAAGCUGAAUUGUAACAAAUGAAAUGUUGAUUUUUAUAAUAAAACAUUGGAAAAAUCA
ensembl:lncRNA